AUGAGCCCAUCACUCUCAUUCUCCCCACGUCUCCAUACCCACCUUUGAACCUCACUUUUCUCUCUAAAAAAAUGCAAAACUGGAUGAGGAAGUCGUGUAAGCUGAGUUGGGAUGAAUGCCAGCCGUGAAGGCUAUCCAAGUGCUGGAGCUUCAAGUGAUACAUGCAGACGCCAGCCACGCGCAGCUCCCAUGACGCCAGUGCCGGUGGCGCCGCCUUCAUAGAUGGUAAACCCCGCGUCCUCCAAGCUACUGUCGGCGCUCAUGGCGAGGACCUCCCCGUCACCUCCGGCGUCGCGGGCGAUCCUAGCUCCGGCGGCCAUGGCACCCUUGCUGGGGAGCUCCUUGUUGAAGACAAUGCCCAAGUGGAGCAUUCAGUCUUGAUG
rnacentral:lncRNA from 1 species